CACUACCCAGCCCGCAUGCUCCCACUCUUCGCUCCUCCUGUGGGCCUCCGACCCGCCGGAGUCCCCUCGCUGUGCACUUCUGUUUUCACAUCUCUUUGUGUGCCUCCGUUUCGGCACCCCGAGUCGGCGUUUUUCUCGCCUGGCAGAGACCGAGCUGAAAGAGAACCGCAGACAACUCCCGGAGUCAAAAGUCUGCGCAGAGGAGGCGCCCUCCGACAGAGGUGAGCAGCAAGCGUCCAGCUGCCUCUGCAGUGAGUGGGCGAAGGUUCCUGCCUCCCUGAGGUUGGAAAGAAACUUCGCCACAUGCAGGAACCUCGGAAGGCUUUUCACGGCUCUUUGUGUGAGCUGCAGGAGCGCAGAAAAGGCGCGCUGUGUCGGAAUGAUUUGGUUAAACGCGGGCACCAUGGGCUCCAACGAAGGGAAAACAGCCAACUAUCCCACCAAGCGACGUUUCGUUUGAAUUCCGGCUGAGCAACGUGGUUCACGCAAACCGGUUCAGAACCCUCCACGAAGACGUGGGUGACAUUCUUAUUAUUAUGGAUGUGCCCACGCAGAUGAGAGAGACGCGCUGGGAAAGAGAAGGGGGCCCACCCUCGAGGAGGAGAGAGUAAAUAGAUCAAAUGUUUGA